rnacentral:rRNA from 1 species
AUUACAACGAAGAGUUUGAUCCUGGCUCAGGAUGAACGCUAGCGGUAGGCUUAACACAUGCAAGUCGAGGGGCAGCACAGGUAGCAAUACUAGGUGGCGACCGGCGCACGGGUGAGUAAC